AUAAUGCACUUUCUCCACAUGCAACAAUAAUUGAAGUCCUCAUCACAAUUUAUCUGAAGGCAACUCUUUGUUAUCUAAAAUUAAUUAAUACCAUUUUAUUCACUCAGAGAGUAUAUUGUUGCAGUGAUCAGUUGCUUCUUCCCAAAUUUAUAGAAUUGAAAGAUCUUAGUACGAGUGCGCCGCAUGACAACUGAGUUCGGGCGGAGACUAGUCAUAUCUGAGGUAGUGGCCGCUCUAUGCGUCUAGAGUCGACCUCCUACCUCAUCCUAUCUAGUUUUAUAUCUAGUUUUGUAUUCGCAGACAGAUUUUUGUACUUUUGGAUCAUCAGUUCUAUUUUCAAACUCUGAGAUAUAUUUACAUUGUUC